ensembl:lncRNA
CGUGUUUCACCCUCACACCUCAGCAGCAGCGUGCAAAUAAACGCACACACAUACACACACGCACAUGCACACACAUGCACACACACACGCGCACACACACACACACAUCUCUGCAUCCUGUAUUUUUUUAUGCAUCGGGAACCGGGCGCUUUAUAAGCGGUCGUGGAUUAUGAUGCCAGUUUUUAUAACAGCGGAAUAUUGGCUUCUUCUUCGACUCCAACUGUGAACAGCAGUAAAUCCCGUGCACGCGCGAGUGUGUGUGGUUUUUUUUUAAAAAAUUAUUUUAAUUUUUCAGAAUUAUUUGUAAUUUGGUUUCCACGUUACUUCUGAACGCCGAGAAACCGCCGAGCGAGACGCAAAGCCUACGUUCAAUGCAGUUGGAACAUGUCCUAUGUUCCCUUUCAAGGUUUGGCUCUAAGUUGACACAAACAUCUGCAGUGGCAGAAGAGCGGAGUAACGUGUUCCAAACUCCUUUUGACAGGGUGUGUUUUCUCUCUUUGGCUCAUCACUGGUCAUUGUGAAUGACAUUUCCCCUUCGUCUGUGCCCAGUGGCCUUACCUGUUAAAUCCGUCUCCUCCAGUGACUCCAAGGUCACUCCGGGACUUAGGUUCGAGCAAUCGUGACUGCGCCUUGCCUUAGGUUGUCCCAGGGUUUCGAGGUGGGAUCUUACCCGUCAUGGGCUGUCCAGCCUUCCAUGCCCGCCUACUACAGGAGCCAACUGGGCAAGAGUGUUAUCAGGCCUAGGGGACACACUGGUUCUGGAAAUUAAAGGAGUGUAAACUGCUUUCUU